AUUGAACGCUGGCGGCAGGCCUCAAACAUGCAAGUCGAACGAGUGGCGGACGGGUGAGUAAUGUCUGGGAAACUGCCCGAUGGAGUGGGAUAACUAAUGGAAACGGUAGCUAAUACCGCAUACCAUCGGAUGUGCCCAGAUGGGAUUAGCUAGUAGGUGGGGUACUGGCUCACCUAGGAGACGAUCCCUAGCUGGUCUGAGAGGAUGACCAGCCACACUGGAACUGAGAAACGGUCCAGACUCCCACGGUAGGCAGCAGUGGGGAAUAUUGCACAAUGGGCGCAAGCCUGAUGCAGCCAUGCCGCGUGUAUGAAGAAGGCCUUCGGGUUGUAAAGUACUGUCAGCGAGGAGGCGUUACUCGCAGAAGAAGCACCGGCUAACUCCGUGCCAGCAGCCGCGGUAAUUC
rnacentral:rRNA from 1 species